AGAAGUUAUCGACAAUUACAAUAAAGGAAAGGAACUUUUACCUAAUGUGUAACUUUUAAAUAUGUGAAACGAGAAAUUAGACCAGAAUGGCGGCUCCGGUGAUGUAAUUCUUCUAGGUCUCCUUCACUAUACUGCAACGGUCCUAUGGAUGCCUUCUUGCUGGCCUUUGGAAUCCUCUGCUAAUAGUGCCUUUUCGUCGGCUUCUUCUUCUCUACCUUUGUUAUCUUCGUCGACGAGAAGGAUUGAGAAAGCAAAGUAGCGACUUGGGACGAGAUCGGUAGAGUUCAAAUUCCUACAGAUGAUAUAUUAUUUAAAAUUAAGAGAAGAUUUCCUUCUGAAGUUCGAUGCCUCCACUGAUUCGAAUAUGAAUUCGUUCGUCUCUCUUUCUCUUCUACAAUCAGGCUUCCAUUGCACUACAAAGUGCUCAAUUUUAGAUGUAAGAUGGUCUUGGGGCUCUAUGUUCAUCUCUUGUACAGUUAACUUUUGCUGACUGAUUAUGGUGUGCUCCUUAACGGCGGUUGCUAAGGUGAUUAUCAAACGGGGAAGUACACAAGCGACUUGAGGAGGAAGCUACUAAAAGAAAGUAGCAGAAGGAAUGGAAACAAGAGCUGUGAAGAAGUGAAGAGAUCUCUUGUCCCAAUAUUAGUUUGAAUCCAACAUUGUUUAACUGUAAAGAUGUAUAAUUAUCCAUAGUUUUAUUCUUGGAAUGAAUUCUUGGGAUCUUCUGUUUUCAAAUAUUUUAUUUUUGUUUAAAUUGUCUAUGUGAAUAACAUUUGUAGGUAUAAUUUGAACUUUGAUGGUUAUUGUGAGCACGUGAUUUUUUCCCUAA